rnacentral:lncRNA from 1 species
AGCAAAAACUAGAGCAGUCGUAGCAAUUGUGUCCUAAUAUCCAGGCUAUAUCAAAUGCAGGUCUAAAAGUUCCGGUGAAAAGGCCCAAUCACCAACACUUUCCUUGAAGAGAAAAGUACACAACACAUAAGAUGCAUCCUCCAAGAAUACUAAAAUGUAUAUAGAAGCCGGGCGGUGGUGGCACACGCCUUUAAUCCCAGCACUCGGGAGGCAGAGGCAGGUGGAUUUCUGAGUUCAAGGACAUCAAGUGCUACAGUGACAAACCCUACUUAGAAAAACAAAACAAAACGUUAAAACACACAUACACUCACACAUGCAUACACAUACACACACACAGAGCCAGACAUAAUAGUGCAAGUCUUUAAUAUCAGCACAUGGGAAGAAGAAGCAGGCAGAUCUCUGUAAGUAAGGCCAGCCUGGUCUACACAGCCAAAUUUUAGGACAACCACGACUAUA